CUAAUAGCGUAUAUUAAAGUUGUUGCAGUUAAAAAGCUCGUAGUUGAAUUUCGGGGUUUAUCCGUUGGUCGGGCUUUUGGGUCUGUACUGACGUGAUGGAUUCCUACCUUCUGAAUAACCAGCAUGCCAUUAAUUUGGUGCGUUGGGGAAGCAGGACUGUUACCUUGAAAAAAUUAGAGUGCUUAAAGCAGGCUAUUGCCUGAAUACAUUAGCAUGGAAUAAUGAAAUAGGACGCAUGGUUCUAUUUUGUUGGUUUCUAGGAUCACCGUAAUGAUUAAUAGGGAUAGUUGGGGGCAUUAGUAUUCAAUUGUCAGAGGUGAAAUUCUUGGAUUUAUUGAAGACUAACUUCUGCGAAAGCAUUUGCCAAGGAUGUUUUCAUUAAUCAAGAACGAAAGUUAGGGGAUCGAAGACGAUCAGAUACCGUCGUAGUCUUAACCAUAAACUAUGCCGACUAGGGAUCGGACGAUGUUAAUUUUUUAAUGACUCGUUCGGCGCCUUACG
rnacentral:rRNA from 1 species